UUGAAGAGCAACCUUCUUUCCUUCCUUCUUUCGUUGCUUCGCACUAGGUGCAAGAAGGGUGUCAUUCUGUGUGUUGUGGCUUCCUUCGCUCCCCAUGUUGGAGAGGGAUACCUAGUUAAAAGAGAGUGUAUGAAUGGUGGAAACUAGCUUGACAAAGCUGAAGAGAGUGGGAAUAAGUGUCGUUCCGACAGACGGCGCCAAAUGUUGAUGCACAAAAUCAGUGAGGACUUUGGUACAAUAGAAAAUGUCAAGUCUGUGACCUUCGCUAGAUUGCUCCGGUCACUAGUGUGGAUAAGUAUUUAAAUAGAUAAAGACAAGGAAGCAAACACAAGAUGUACAUGGUUCACCCAGAUUGGCUACGUCCACGAAGUAGAAAAGUUCUCAAUAAUUGUGAAGGGUUUACACAAGUACAUAGGUUCAAGCUCUCCUUUAGUGAGUACUAGUGAAUGAUUUAGUGCAAAUGACAUUAGGAAAUAUUGUGAGGGAAUGAUCUCUAUUUAGAGAAGAGAGUUUCUAGUUUCAUUCUGACAUUGACACGUGUCGUGUUGUGAUUGGCUUCUGAUGUUGACACGUGUCUUGCUAUGAUUGGCUUAUGAUGUCGACAUGUGUCGCGCUGUGAUUAGCCUCCUAGUUGGAGGGAAACUCUUCUGGGUCCUUGAUGGUAUAACGUUGACCGGUGCUCAGUAGUUUCGGGAUUGGUCAAGUAUGGUACAAACAGAAUCAAAUAUCAAAUUUAGUUUAAAAAGACC
rnacentral:lncRNA from 1 species